CAGGCAAGGGCGCUAGCUGGUGGGAGCCACCCCGCCAUGCUGAUGUCAGAGAAGCAAGAACUCUGGAGAAGCAGCCUCCUGGGACCAGAGGAGGGCCAGCAGCAGGCAGCCCGGAGACAGAACUCUCACCCACGCCUCUCCAAGCCUCCCAACAGAAGACAGAGGUCCCCCACAGCCAGAGACAUUUCCUGAAGACAUGGGGAACACAGAGGCAGAAACAGCCCAUCCACCCAGGAGCUGUCCCCCACACUGCCGGGAGCCGGCACCCAGAGCCGCCAGGUAAAACUGAGGCCACCUGGUUCAACAUCACCUUUCACAGAAGGGGAAGCAGCCACAGAAAGAAGGGCCUCGUUAAGAAGUGGAACCUGGGACCCCCAAGCGGUGUCUCUCAUCCUGACUGGGGAUCCAGAGUAGGAGGGAGCCUUUGGUGGGGUAAGUGGAAUGGGGCGGGGUGGGGGGUGGCCAUAGACCCCUCUUCUCAGUAAGGCCCUCAUGUGAAGGAGGCAGGGGUUGGGACAAGUGCUAAGUAUGCAAGACUCAAGGGAAGAGCUGCUGGAGCCAGGAGAAGCACCUCCCUCCCGGCCCCUCUGCCCCUCCUCAUAGCCCAGCUGCACUGACUCCUCCUCCAGGAAGCCUUCUCAGCUUCCCCAGGGGUGGGAACCUUUUUGUCCUCCAGGUGUGCUUGGCUGUCCUUUCUUGGGCUCUCUCUCUCUCUCUCUCCUCAUCCCACUUGAGUCUGCCCCCUAUUCACCUUGUGAGGGGAAUUUUCCUUCUACUCAAUCUGACCGAGGUCCUCCAGGUCAAGGACAGCGAGGCUCUCAGUCCCACUUCCCCUUGGCACAUAGAAGAGGCAGUGCGCUGAAGGGACAGGUGAAAUGAUUAGACCCUGCCCCCAAACCAAGGCCUGGCCAAUUGGACAGGGCAUGAGACAUUCAGCGUAGAGGUUAAAACGAGGGCCCUGGGUUAGGAACCCCAGCUCAGUUCUCAGCUCUGUACCCUUGGAAAAUUCCCUUCCCAUGGAGCUUUGUGGAUGCACAAGGACUUGCACAAAGAAAACAUUCAAUAUCCAGGACUAUAAAAUUCCACAAAUGAUUGUGCUUAUUACAUUCAUUAUCACGAUGAUUAUUCCAGACACAAAGGAACAGAACGAGGCACCAACAGCAAGGGGCAAGCAGAUUCAAGGGCCACAGAGGAGAUGGAGGCAAACACCUUCCCCUGGUCAGAGGCUGUGCCUCAGCCCUUCUCCCUGCAUCAGUUUCUCCUUCAGAAGCAUGGGACUACCUCCCAUCUAGUUCUCGUUUCUAAACCUAGGGGAGAUGCUAUCUUUGCUGCAAUAAUCUUAGCCUACAUCUUGGAAUGGAAAUGGCCUUGGUGGAAAUGGUCUUCAACUCCUCUGGUCCAAGCUCAGGCCCUGUGACCCUGGAACAAUCCCCUUCCUGGUCCUCCAUGUAGGAGCAAUAACAUUCCCUUGCCAGCAGCACCAGCCAUUCUGAUGAUUAAAUGGUAUCGGACUCUGUUUUCCAAACUCAGUCAUUCAGAUGCCCCCUAUUUUAUUUCUUCCAUGUCUGCAAAUGAUUAUAAUAUUUUUAAAUGUAGGAUGAGUCCUUUUUAUUACACAUAGAAAUAGCUACUGUAAAUAGCAAACUCUAACACUGUGCCUAAUUAGGAAAUAAAGGUAACCAUAAAUACAGUAAAAAUGAAACAAUGUUAUUAUGGUUUAACCUGAUAGUGUGGCUUGCAAGGCCCUGGGCCUGAAGCCUGGGCAAUAAGUGAGAGUUAGAAAGGUGUCAAAGACAUGAUAGCAGCAAACUGAGGCUUUGUACCCCACGGUAAAUAGGACUGAAAGCAAAUUCACAGGGAGCAACUGAUCCAUUCCACAACAGAAUGCUCCCUGUCAAUUCGCUUUCCAUUCUGUUGUGUCCUGUCUCCCAGCAGAGACUACAAACUCCCCAAAACCACUUACCCACCAGCUGCACGUGAGAAGCCAAAGGUAGUUUAUGUGAAAGGGCUUUGGAAAUAAUCACGCACCAAGUGAAGGCAGAGGACACACCUUGUCAGCUUAGUUCUCAGCAGCAAAUCAUCUCUUUUCCAGGAUAACCCUCCCUGAUUCUUAUUGAAAUCUCUUUGCUGACCACACUAAGCUCUUCUCUCUCAGGGGCAGUGGGAGCCGUGGAGAGUGGAAUAGACCAGCUGUCUGUGACCUGCGAGGGAGUCCAAUGUCGGAAUCACUCCCCAGCCAAAUGCACGGUUUUAAAAAAUCUAUUUAUUUAUUUAUGUAGAGACCAGGCUAUGAGACUGGCUAAUUUUUCGUAUUUUUGGAUAGAGACAGGAUUUCAUCGUGUUGCCCAGGCUGGUCUUGAACUCCUGGGCUCAAGCGAUCCACCUGCCUCGGCUUCCCAAAGUGCUCAGGAUUACAGGCGUGAGCCACUGUGCCCAGCCACCAAAUGCAGUUGAAAAGAGUUUCUGCAAGAUAAUUCCACAGAAGAGGAAAGCAGUUAUCUGGCUGGGAAUACCUUAGACAGAGGCUGUCCUCUACACAGGCUGUCAGAACUGACCUACUGACCUGCCUGCUGGCAUGAUAGACCAGAGGGAAACACUCUUUCCACUCUUCCCAGACUGAGUGUAAGAGACAGACUUUUUUUUUUUUUUUUGAGACGGAGUCUCACUCUGUCACCCAGGCUGGAGUGCAAUGGCAAGAUCUCGGCUCACUGCAACCUCCACCUCCCCGGGUUCAAA
rnacentral:lncRNA from 10 species